GACGAACGCUGGCGGCGUGCCUAAUACAUGCAAGUCGAACGCAGUGGGGACGGGUGAGUAACACGUGGGUAACCGCCCAUCAGAGGGGAGAACACUUGGACACAGGUGCUAAACCGAUACUGAUGGAUGGACCCGCUGUGCAUUAGCUAGUUGGUGAGGUAACGGCUGACCAAGGCCACGAUGCAUAGCUGACCUGAGAGGGUGAUCGGCCACACUGGAACUGAGACACGGCCCAGACUCCUACGGGAGGCAGCAGUGGGGAAUCUUCGGCAAUGGACGAAAGUCUGACCGAGCAACGCCGCGUGAGUGAAGAAGGUUUUCGGAUCGUAAACCUCUUUUGUUUGGGAAGCGGUAUCUACCCAGAAAGCCACGGCUAACUUCGUGCCAGCCGCCGCGGUAAUAC
rnacentral:rRNA from 1 species